rnacentral:rRNA from 1 species
GACGAACGCUGGCGUCGUGCCUAAUACAUGCAAGUCGAGCGAAUCUUUGGGAGCUUGCUCCCAAAGAUUAGCGGCGGACGGGUGAGUAACACGUGGGCAACCUGCCUAUGAGACUGGGAUAACUCCGGGAAACCGGGGCCAAUACCGGAGAAUUCUUUUCUAAACAUGUAGAAAAGUUGAAAGAUGGUUUCGGCUAUCACUCAUAGAUGGGCCCGCGGCGCAUUAGCUAGUUGGUGAGGGAACGGCUCACCAAGGCGACGAUGCGUAGCCGACCUGAGAGGGUGAUCGGCCACACUGGGACUGAGACACGGCCCAGACUCCUACGGGGGGCAGCAGUAGGGAAUCUUCCGCAAUGGACGAAAGUCUGACGGAGCAACGCCGCGUGAGUGAUGAAGGUUUUCGGAUCGUAAAACUCUGUUGUUAGGGAAGAACAAGUACCGGAGUAACUGCCGGUACCUUGACGGUACCUAACCAGAAAGCCACGACUAACUACGUGCCAGCCGCCGCAGUAACAC